ensembl:lncRNA
CGGAAGUGGAAGGUAAAUCUCUGCUGCUGAAGACGCCAUGCAUUUUUGACACAGGACCCGGAGGAUAUGAGCUAGAUCUGAUCUUAAAGCCUUCUCCUUGAAGAUUAGUCUUCAUGUCGCCAGAAAGCACCAUGCAAAAUUCCCAAGGAGGGACGCAACCAGCUACGAUACUAAUGAGCAAGAACAGCAACCAGCAUGUCAUCGUACCCUUAAGGAAAAUUACCUUCACAGCAGAUGAAGACCAUUACAGAAAACCACAACUGAUCAAAACUCAGAGAUUUGGAACCCGUUCCCCAAUGAUCUACAACAUAAUCCAAGCACUCAAGGCUCGGGGAUCGUUAGAGAAGGGAGCAGAAACAAGUAAGAGCCCGAAGGACAGGAAGUUUGCUCAGGGAAGAGCAUUCCAGUUGGUUAUCUAAUACCAAAUGGCCAGUUCUCAAAACAUAUUAAAAGAGACGAUAAAUUUUAAUAGGACCAAAGUGGAGUAUUUGGGAGAGUCUGGGGGGAGGAAGAAGAAGAGGGAGAUGAUGUAAGAAUAUUGUAAUUCAAAAAAAAUUUAAAAAUAAUUUUAAGAAGGAUACAAAGCUUGGAAGGCCUAAGGAAAGGAAGGUUGAAAGAAAGAAUGGAAUAAAAUCAAAACGCAUCAUGCGUGUAUGAGAUUCUCAAAGUAUUAAUAAAUUACGGUUUAAAAAUACCCAUACACAUAAAAAAUAAAGUAAUAAAAUACUUUUAAUUUAAUGAGAAAUAACUGCCAUUUCAUUAGGUUAGAGAGUCUUACAAACCAGAGAAAGAAGAAACACUAAAAUCUAACAUUCUGAGAAUCACUCGUGUACCAUUUGUAGCAAAUUAGAAAGUAAAUUUUCAGUUAUUGGUCUGUGAGGGGAAAUGCACUCCAUGAACCACAUCCUGGAGGACAUACGCCUUGACUUGCCUUGUUGUGAGCUGCCACUGAGCCGUUCUGACUCCUCUUCAUCUCUCUCCUUCAUGACUAACAUUUAUAAAAUGGUUAGUCAUGAUUUGACGGACGGUCUUUGACUUCACACUAGCAGGAAGAGAGCUGAGCCUUUGGGAAACCAAACCAACAUCCAUGGGCUUGUCAAUUCUCAUAGGGCAAAGCAAUGAGGCACUGUAGAAAAAUGAAACCAUAUUCAAAACUCCACCAAAACCAGCUGGAACCAAAAUGGGAGUGGGGACCAAAAGAUUAACCAACGUGGCAAAAGAGUUUGUAGACUAUUCCAUCC